GACGAACGCUGGCGGCGUGCUUAACACAUGCAAGUCGAACGAUGAAGAAAAGAAUUGAAGCUUCGGCAGAAAUUCAUUUCGGAUUAGUGGCAGACGGGUGAGUAACACGUGAGCAACCUACCUCUUACAAAGGGAUAGCCUCGGGAAACCGGGAUUAAUACCAUAUAACAUUGCGACGAAGCAUUUCGAUGCAAUCAAAGCUACGGCGGUAAGAGAUGGGCUCGCGUCCCAUUAACCAGAUGGUGAGGUAACGGCUCACCAUAGUAACGAUGGGUAACCGGCCUGAGAGGGUGAACGGUCACACUGGAACUGAGACACGGUCCAGACUCCUACGGGAGGCAGCAGUGGGGAAUAUUGCACAAUGGAGGGAACUCUGAUGCAGCGACGCCGCGUGAGUGAUGAAGGAAUUCGUUUCGUAAAACUCUGUUCUAUGGGAAGAAAAGGACUGUACCAUAGGAGAAAGCUCCGGCUAAAUACGUG
rnacentral:rRNA from 1 species